rnacentral:rRNA from 1 species
GACGAACGCUGGCGGCGUGCUUAACACAUGCAAGUCGAACGGAAAGGCCCUGCUUUUGUGGGGUGCUCGAGUGGCGAACGGGUGAGUAACACGUGAGUAACCUGCCCUUGACUUUGGGAUAACUUCAGGAAACUGGGGCUCAUACCGGAUAGGAGCUCCUGCUGCAUGGGGGGGGUUGGAAAGUUUCGGCGGUUGGGGAUGGACUCGCGGCUUAUCAGCUUGUUGGUGGGGUAGUGGCUUACCAAGGCUUUGACGGGUAGCCGGCCUGAGAGGGUGACCGGCCACAUUGGGACUGAGAUACGGCCCAGACUCCUACGGGAGGCAGCAGUGGGGAAUAUUGCACAAUGGGCGGAAGCCUGAUGCAGCAACGCCGCGUGCGGGAUGACGGCCUUCGGGUUGUAAACCGCUUUCGCCUGUGACGAAGCGUGAGUGACGGUAAUGGGUAAAGAAGCACCGGCUAACUACGUG